CCUACGGGAGGCAGCAGUGAGGAAUAUUGGUCAAUGGCCGUAAGGCUGAACCAGCCAAGUAGCGUGAGGGAAGACUGCCCUAUGGGUUGUAAACCUCUUUUAUGCGGGGAUAAAGGUGUCCACGUGUGGAUGUUUGCAGGUACCGCAUGAAUAAGGACCGGCUAAUUCCGUGCCAGCAGCCGCGGUAAU
rnacentral:rRNA from 1 species